CUUAACACAUGCAAGUCGAGGGGCAUCAGGAAGAAAGCUUGCUUUCUUUGCUGGCGACCGGCGCACGGGUGAGUAACACGUAUCCAACCUGCCCUUUACUCGGGGAUAGCCUUUCGAAAGAAAGAUUAAUACCCGAUAGCAUAAUGAUUCCGCAUGGUUUCAUUAUUAAAGGAUUCCGGUAAAGGAUGGGGAUGCGUUCCAUUAGGUUGUUGGUGAGGUAACGGCCCACCAAGCCUUCGAUGGAUAGGGGUUCUGAGAGGAAGGUCCCCCACAUUGGAACUGAGACACGGUCCAAACUCCUACGGGAGGCAGCAGUGAGGAAUAUUGGUCAAUGGGCGCUAGCCUGAACCAGCCAAGUAGCGUGAAGGAUGAAGGCUCUAUGGGUCGUAAACUUCUUUUAUAUAAGAAUAAAGUGCAGUAUGUAUACUGUUUUGUAUGUAUUAUAUGAAUAAGGAUCGGCUAACUCCGUGCCAGCAGCCGCGGUAAUACGGAGGAUCCGAGCGUUAUCCGGAUUUAUUGGGUUUAAAGGGAGCGUAGGUGGACUGGUAAGUCAGUUGUGAAAGUUUGCGGCUCAACCGUAAAAUUGCAGUUGAUACUGUCAGUCUUGAGUACAGUAGAGGUGGGCGGAAUUCGUGGUGUAGCGGUGAAAUGCUUAGAUAUCACGAAGAACUCCGAUUGCGAAGGCAGCUCACUGGACUGCAACUGACACUGAUGCUCGAAAGUGUGGGUAUCAAACAGGAUUAGAUACCCUGGUAGUCCACACAGUAAACGAUGAAUACUCGCUGUUUGCGAUAUACAGUAAGCGGCCAAGCGAAAGCAUUAAGUAUUCCACCUGGGGAGUACGCCGGCAACGGUGAAACUCAAAGGAAUUGACGGGGGCCCGCACAAGCGGAGGAACAUGUGGUUUAAUUCGAUGAUACGCGAGGAACCUUACCCGGGCUUAAAUUGCAGUGGAAUGAUGUGGAAACAUGUCAGUGAGCAAUCACCGCUGUGAAGGUGCUGCAUGGUUGUCGUCAGCUCGUGCCGUGAGGUGUCGGCUUAAGUGCCAUAACGAGCGCAACCCUUAUCUUUAGUUACUAACAGGUUAUGCUGAGGACUCUAGAGAGACUGCCGUCGUAAGAUGUGAGGAAGGUGGGGAUGACGUCAAAUCAGCACGGCCCUUACGUCCGGGGCUACACACGUGUUACAAUGGGGGGUACAGAAGGCAGCUAGCGGGUGACCGUAUGCUAAUCCCAAAAUCCUCUCUCAGUUCGGAUCGAAGUCUGCAACCCGACUUCGUGAAGCUGGAUUCGCUAGUAAUCGCGCAUCAGCCACGGCGCGGUGAACACGUUCCCGGGCCUUGUACACACCGCCCGUCAAGCCAUGGGAGCCGGGGGUACCUGAAGUACGUAACCGCAAGGAUCGUCCUAGGGUAAAACUGGUGACUGGGGCUAC
rnacentral:rRNA from 1 species